rnacentral:rRNA from 1 species
GUAUAUUAAAGUUGUUGCAGUUAAAAAGCUCGUAGUUGGAUUUCGGAGCGGAGCUCACGGUCCGCCUUUUCGGGUGUGCACUGUGUUGUUCUGUUCUUCUUCUCGUGGAGCGUGUGUGCUCUUCAUUGAGUGUGCACGUAACUCGGGACUUUUACUUUGAAAAAAUUAGAGUGUUCAAAGCAGGCCUUGGCUUGAAUACAUUAGCAUGGAAUAAUGAAAUAGGACUUUGGUUCUAUUUUGUUGGUUUUCGGAACCAAGGUAAUGACUAAUAGGGACAGUUGGGGGCAUUCGUAUUCAAUUGUCAGAGGUGAAAUUCUUGGAUUUAUGGAAGACGAACAACUGCGAAAGCAUUUGCCAAGGAUGUUUUCAUUAAUCAAGAACGAAAGUUGGAGGUUCGAAGAUGAUCAGAUACCGUCGUAGUUCCAACCAUAAACGAUGCCGACUAGGGAUCGGUGGAUGUUAUUAAAUGACUCCAUCGGCACCUUAUGAGAAAUCAAAGUUUUUGGGUUCCGGGGGGAGUAUAAUCGCAAGAUCGGAACUUAAAGGAAUU